rnacentral:rRNA from 1 species
UUGUUGGAGAGUUUGAUCCUGGCUCAGGACGAACGCUGGCGGCGUGCUUAACACAUGCAAGUCGAGCGGAAAGGCCCUUCGGGGUACUCGAGCGGCGAACGGGUGAGUAACACGUGAGCAACCUGCCCCAGGCUUUGGGAUAACCCCGGGAAACCGGGGCUAAUACCGAAUAUGACCUUGCAUCGCAUGGUGUUUGGUGGAAAGUUUUUCGGCUUGGGAUGGGCUCGCGGCCUAUCAGCUUGUUGGUGGGGUGAUGGCCUACCAAGGCGACGACGGGUAGCCGGCCUGAGAGGGCGACCGGCCACACUGGGACUGAGACACGGCCCAGACUCCUACGGGAGGCAGCAGUGGGGAAUAUUGCACAAUGGGCGGAAGCCUGAUGCAGCGACGCCGCGUGAGGGAUGACGGCCUUCGGGUUGUAAACCUCUUUCAGCAGGGACGAAGCGUAAGUGACGGUACCUGCAGAAGAAGCGCCGGCCAACUACGUG